rnacentral:tRNA from 1 species
ACUAGGGUGGCUCAGUUGGUUAAGCACCUGACUCUGGUUCAGGUCAUGAUCUCAUGGUUUGUGAGUUCAAGUCCCACAUCAGGUG